AUGUUCUGCUUAGUUGUUGAGGAAAUACACCAAUUGAAAAAAAAAAAAAAAAAAAAAAUCUUCCAUAUAAUUGUAGAGGACCAGAGAAGACCGAUUCAAAAUUAACUUUUUGGCUUUGUUAAAGUUUAAAUUGUCCAUUUUAUUUAUUGGGAAUCAAAAUCAACAUAGGAUAGGAGUUCAAAACUUAGUCAUGUCUUUUUUUAUCGCCCAUAUUCAGGGCAACCUCAGGUGUGUGUGGGGGUGGAUACUUAUGUAUGCGCUGGGCAGUGCAUUGAUUAUCAUCUCAUCAACUUUUUGCAGGCUAUUUUCGUCUGUAAAAUAACAAGUUUGCUGCAAGUGUUUUCUUGAUCAGUCUAUGAAUUUUCUAAUUUUAUAUGCUUCCUUUUGUUUAAAAUCACUUGAUGAGUGAUGAUCUUCCAUGUACUCUUAUUUAUGAAAAUAUUAUAAAUAUUUUUGUUUUACAUUUUCAACAGGACUUUUGUGUAUUUUAAGAGUCUCUGCCUGGUCUCUUGCAAUAUAUAUUUUUGGUGAUCAAUUAAAUUUUAUUUCAGGAAUUUUGGCUGACAUAUGAGCCAUCAUGAAAUUCAGAAAAGGAAGCAAAGUGGAAGUUUUAAGCAAAAAGGAGGUGCCUUCUGGCUCCUGGCGUUCUGCUGAGAUCAUAUGUGGUAAUGGCCACAACUACACUGUUAGAUAUGAUGGAUUUGAGAAUGCCAUGAAUAAGACCAUUCUCGAGAGGGUGUCCAGGAAGACCAUUAGGCCUUGCCCUCCUCAACUGGAGGUUUUGGAGGGUUGGGUUCCUGGUGAUGUCAUAGAGGUCUUUGACAAUUUUUCUUGGAAAAUGGCAACAAUCUCAAAGGUUUUGGGACAGAAGUACUUUUUGGUCAGGUUACUUGGAUCCUCUUGGGAAUAUAAAGUCAGUAAAUUUGACAUCAGAGUUAGACAGUCUUGGCAAGAUGAUCAAUGGGUUGUUAUUGGAAAGGGUUCUAGAAAUUGCUAUAGUGGGAAACAUGAAGAAAUUGUAAUUCUGAAGGACGGUCAGGAUUCUAACUUCCAAAUUCAGAAGACAAACUUGAGGAUAAGUUCAUGCCUAAAUGAUGUUUCUUUUCCUGUUAAGAAUAAAUUAAAUUGCCACGAAUCUCACGUUGCCUCCUCUAAAACUCUAAAGAGAGGAUCACCUUAUUGCUAUUCUCAAGCUAGUGCACAUGCUGGAGCUGCACAGAAAGUUAGAGUAGCUGAGGAUGGGGCUAGGUGUUACCGAGUGAUUGCUGCCAAUCCACCCAUGUUAGCUAGACAGGUAGAUGUUUCUUUACCAAGAGACGUGCCUCGUGAAAAGGAAAAAUAUGCUUCAUUUAAGCUCAAAACAACUGGUUUUCCUGAAGUGGAUAUGGAGAGGAUGAAACCAAGUGGCACUGCUGGGGGUUCAUUUGCAGUAGACUUAGAAUCAAAUGAUGCUGAUAGUGUUAGAUGCUCUGUUGGUAGUUGUAGCAUCGCUAGCAACGGUUCGUAUAAGUCACACUAUCGUGUUUCUGCAGGUCCUACUGAAGAUUUUGACGAUAGUUUUUGUGAUACUGCAUCUACUUGUCAGUCGAGAUAUGAAGAAGGAAACUGCCACCUUCCAGAAAAGGAUGAAUUGGCUGCUGAGAUCCAUAGGUUAGAGUUGCAUGCCUAUCGCUGCACCAUGGAGGCAUUGCAUGCAUCAGGGCCUUUAAGUUGGGAACAAGAAGAAUUGGUGACAAAUCUUCGUCUUUCGCUCCAUAUAACAAAUGACGAACAUUUGAUGGAGCUAAGAAACUUGGUUUCUGCAGAUACUGACAUUAUGUUUUGAUGACAAGAAAUUUCUCCACAGACAUGUUUUAUUAGCUGUAGAAUCUGACAAGGUUGAAGUAGGAGGAGGCUUAUAUGCCUUGCUUUCGAGUGUCUAAAGAUGAUGGGAUUUGCCAGCCUCCUUCUGGUCUAGACACAAGGACAAUUUUUAUAUGACAGCUAAUGAUGAACCAUCAUUUCCAUUGGUUUAAAUGAUGUCUGCAUUCUUUCAAUUCAGGCUACAUAAUGAGCCUUAGAUUACGGUUUUGCUGAAGGAUGUAUGACCAGAAUCUUGUUGGCUGACAUGGAUGCUGUGACAAUAUGAAUGCUUGGAAGCAUGUUCAAGGGUCAUAAAGCUUCUAGUUUUUGUAAUUUGGCAGGACUUCAAGCAUUGGGUUCAACUUUCAACAGGUUGUGCUUCAAGCAUAAACUAUAAACCACAGAGUUAUACCGAUAACAGAAGGUUCAUGAAGGCAGUAAAGAGAGAGGGCAUGCAAUGGGAACAGGUGGCAUAGACACUAAACUGCCAAAGUGUCAUUCUUGGUCAGUAUAUGCUUCAUUUUUAUAGAGACACAGUGUAAAUGGAGGUAUUUCAAAUGGUUUGUGUUGGAAGUUGGUUGGUGUUUGGCUUUUCUUUUCCAAGAUCUUAAUAGGGAUAUCGGGGUAUAGACAAACAAGUUGUGCAUUUAUGUGGCUCCACCAAAUCCUCUGCCAUUGUCUCAUUCAUAUCCCUUCAUGAUUGCUCUUCCCAUGUGAUCAUGCUCCUGAGGAGGAGGAGAUGGAGGAGAUUGAGAGAAAGCAACAUUCAUUUCCCUUUGGAUUUCAUCACUUUGCCUAGCCUACCUCCUCCCUACUCAUUUCUUAGUCUAUAUAUUCUGGAUAUAUUUUGGACAGUCUUUUCUUAUUUUUUCCUUGAUUUAGAUCCAAACAUAUUUUUGGAAAAAAUAUAUAUGUAUUAUUGCAUAUAAUUUGGGUAAUAUGGGGAUUUAAAUUCAAAUUUUCUAUGUGAACAGUAAACUUUAUCAUUGAAUUGUUUUUGACAGUACAAGUCUUUUCCAUAUUAUUUGUUUUCAAAGUCAACACAUAAAAAUCUACUAUUAAAGCAAAUGAAUCAACAUUUUCACGUUUUUUUUCUUUUUUUUCUUUUUUUUUCCCAAUGAAAACUAUAAAGGCAAAGAGGGGGAAAAAAAAAAAAAAACACAGCUAUCAGAAAUUUUGUCUUCUUAUUAGUUUCCUUUAAGCGGUUGGGAGAUCUUUUGGAAAGUCUACUUCACGUCUGGUCCUGAUCUUGGAUGAUAGCCCCAAUGUUGACAAUUGAUCAGGAUGCUUCAAGAUGCUUGAGUAUACUUAUCAAGGCCUUUUUUUUUUUUUUCGAGUGAAAGAUUGUUACAUAAAAUUAUCCUUACUUUGGAAAAAACAUUAUAUAUAUUUUAAAAAUCAAUUAAAAUUUUCAUAUUUCCUUACCUAAAAUCUACAACAUUUAAAUGCACAUAUAUUAAUUCUUCAAUUUGCAUAGAAUAAGAUCUUGUAAAUAUUAAAUGCCUAUUGCUUUUGAAACAGGUAACCCUCUUUGUGCUGUCCAUGUUUGCAAAAUUAACGUGGGAUAGAACCUAACACGAGGGACUUUUGGUACCUUAAUUUUAUCGCUUCUAUAUGAUCUAGAAUUAGUAAUCUUAAUGAGAAUUGGCAAUGGAGAUAGCUAGCUAGCUAGGCCUAGCAUGACAGCUUUUUCAUCCAAUUAUUUCUCUUAAGUCUAAACAAAAUUAAUGCGGCAUAUGUAAAUUGCCCAAUAUAUACAACUAAGUCUAGACUCAGAAAAUCAAAACGUUAGGUAGGUAAAGGUUUUGCUAUCUUUGAAAAAAAAAAAAAAAAACUCUUAAGAUACGGGAAUCACAUAGAGAAGUGGCAUUCUUCAUGGGGCAUGAAAAAAUGGAAAAAAAAAAAAAAAAAAAUCAU